AUGCAGUGGUUCCUUGGGUGGUAUUUGUGCAAUUGUAGUAACUUAGUGGUCAUCCGCCCCCCGACCCCUUCUUUUUUGCCCAUAAAACAUCUUUGUCUUUGAGACUAAUAAUCUGUUUGAGCUUUGUGAAAUGCUCAGUUUUACCUUAUUGAAAUGAAACUUCAAUUCAAAAGAAAAUGAACCACAGAAAAAGGCUACUAUGCAGCAUCUUUCCCCUAGAGUUCGAGAGGAAAUUCACAUCUGAUCUUAUCGGAGAGCGACAUCUCCAUACUCCUUUUUAACCACCCUCUCUAUUACCAUGUACAUGAAUAGAUUGACCUUGAUGGAGGAAUCUGGAAAGAGAAUACUAAUCGCAUUUCCUUCCUCCAAAAUAAGCUCCUCCAGUCAACCUGCUCAUCCCUGUCAUGCUCAAAUAACACUCUUUCACCUACUCUCCCCCAUGUUGGCUUAUAAUUUCAAACAGUUCUCUGGGACUAGGAAAAAAGUUGACUUAAUAGUGAAUACAAUUAAUUUUUCAGGCUUCCUUUCCAGAUUUAAUCUGCAAAGUAGCCUCGGAAGUCUUUGGAUUUGGAUGAAGAAUGUUGCAUGAAGUUGAGGAAAUGGAAGUCUUUUGUCAUGUUUCCUUGUCACUUAGUAACUAGAAAUGCGUUUAUGAUUUUUUAUGCAUCAUUAAUCUGUAAUUUUGUCAUGGAUAGAAGUUAAACCCUCACUGAUGUAAUUUGCAUAGAAGUUUUUGACAGUUUCAGUUUCUGUUGUGUAACCAGCUGGAGAGCUUGUUCUAAGCUAUUUUAUUGACUACUAUGUGACAGUCACGUUCUGUAGACUAGAGAUUACGCCUCCCACUUAAACUUGAAUGCUCUCCCUGUUAAAUAGCUUGUUCUUACUGGUUGCUAAAGCAAUCAGAUAUACCCAUCUUUACUUGUUUAAUUGUCUUUGUAUGCAAUGUUUAGUCUUUUUACUGUGCUAAAGCUACUAAACGGUGUUGGUAGCCUGGGAGCAUGAACAGUUUUCAAGGUUGAAAGUCACUGCAGCAACACUUUCUGAACUUUCUGCUGCACCUGAAUUACUGGAAAGCACGGGAGGUCUGGCUGAUAGCAGACAGUUUAUCAGUGAAGCCUCAAUCAUUUGAAGUGUCAAGCUUGUUGCUGAAAGUCUAGCAGUAAGGACCAUAGCCUACUUCUUUGCCCCUGGAGUACAAAAUUUUUGUCUAAGACAUUGCACUGCUGAUUUCAUGAAUUGAUAAAACCUUAAACUUCCAAUGAUGACAUUGUCUUCUAUAUGAGAAAUAAAUAAUGACAGCAGAAUAGUGAACCUAGAAAGGAAGACUAGUGCUUUUUGGCCUCUUAUAGGUCUUGUCAUGCCUGCUCCUUUUGGGACCUAGUUGAUUCUCAAUUAAGUAGUUUUUCAAUGAAGCUACAUAUUCUGUUCAACAUCAAAAGUAUAACUUUUUAUUUUAUCGUGGCUUUUUCGCUUUCGUUAUUUUCAUUUGCAUACUGCUUUAAAUUGCUUGUCCUUAUCUGACAUUUAUUUGCCAUGCUUUCUCUUGAGCCGAGAGUCUUUUGGAAACAGCCUCCCUACCUUCCAAGGUAGGGGUAAAGUCUGCGUACACUUCACCCUCCCCGGACCCUACAUUGUGGGAUUUCACUGGGUAUGUUGUUGUUGUUGUAUCAUUUUGCUGAGACUAUGGCAGAUAGUGUUUGUACUCUCAGUUUUCCUUGUGGUUUGUGGAAUCUCCUGAUGCUAUGCUAGCGGAGUGAGUAUAUAGCUAAUAAAAUCAAUUUAAAUCAUAAUUGGCUGGUUUAUGAUUUAAUCAAGAAUAAUCCCAAAAUUGCUCUUCUUUGACAUUCCUUCUCCAAGUCUACAAUUAAGAUCAGGCCUAAAUACCCUGGAAAUUCACAAUAACAUUUUCUCUCUCUCUCUAACUCUUGAAAUUCCUGCUGCUUCAUGAGUAUUAUUUACUGCUAGUUCUGUGCAUCCUUCCUUUAAUUAAUUAAUGAGCAACAUGAUUGAAUUUUGAGUAGCGGCUUUUAUACGGGGGUACCCCAUCAUUAAUAAUGCUCCCUCCGUGCCGUUUUAUGUGGUGUAAUAGUUGGAGUAGAUAGGGAGUUUAUGAAUGAAAGACAGACUUUUGAAACUUAUCUACAAUAAGUUAUAAAUAUUUGUGUGGAUAUAAAUCAUCUCAUUAAGGGUAAAAUGAGAAGUUUGAAGUUAAACUGUUAAAGAUAUUAUUCUUUUCGGAACUCAAAAAAAAAAAAAAAGGGAAAGAGUGUCACAUAAAUUGGGACGGAGGGAGUAUUAUUUACCUUUUUUUAUUUUAAACCGAGGGAGUAUUAUUUACCUUAUAAGAAAAGGAUUGAAUUUUGAGUUCUGUCAGAGUGUCAGUAUACUAUUUGAGAUUUCUGGAGAAUGAUUUUAUGAAAGAUUUAUUUAUUUUCCUCAUUACAUUGCUUAGUCCCAAGUGUAAAUGACAAAUUAUGAUUAGGGAAACAUGGAUGCAUCUUCUGUAGUAUUUUUUCUUUGGGGUGGGGGACUGUAUGUCAGAGCCCAUUUGCAUUUGUAUAUGUAGGAUUUUGUUUUGCCUGUCUUUUGUUAUAGCGAACAAAUAAUUUUGCUGUACCGAACUACUUCUGAAGAAUCGGGUGAUUGAUCAGCUGGUUCAGAGUUUUAGAUAAUCAAAGCGUUUUUUGUAUAUGCUUUCUUUCUCCUAUAUUCUGCAGCUUUGUGAGACUCAAAUCUUGGUAGAUGUCCUUUUAUGUGAUCGGACUUGUUUCAAGCAUUUGUUUCAUGCAGACUACAGUGGUUUUGCAAGCGUGUGUUUAACAAAUUUCUUCAUACACAGACACAUUUACAGCCAGGAGCAGAAGAGCAUAAACAUAUUUGCAGAUGAUAGUAGUUCAGCUGUCAAUCCUUCCUACAUAAGGUCUUGGCUAGACCUUUUAUCUACAACACCUCGAGUGGCACCUUUUCUUUCAAAAAAUGACCCGCUUAUUAAGGCACUGGAGAAGGUUGCCAGCGUGACAUUCGACCUGCUUUUGUUGUUGGUUCUAGGAUCAUACUUGAUUACACUUUUCAGUUUUCUUUUUAUCACCCCCAGGGGUCUUGACGAUCUUAUUAGUCUAUUCCGUCAUCCCCCAUCACGGAAAGUAAAAACCGCUUGAUUCCUGAAACAGGAUAUUUCUGCAUCAGGCGCUUGUGAAUCAAGAAGCAGGCGUCACUUUUUAUAACCUUAAU